rnacentral:rRNA from 1 species
CCUACGGGAGGCAGCAGUGGGGAAUAUUGCGCAAUGGGGGAAACCCUGACGCAGCGACGCCGCGUGAGCGAAGAAGGCCUUAGGGUCGUAAAGCUCUGUUGUAAGGGACGAAUGUUUAUCUGGCGAACAGUCAGAUAAAGUGACGGUACCUUACCAGCAAGCCCCGGCUAACUACGUGCCAGCAGCCGCGGUAAGACGUAGGGGGCGAGCGUUGUCCGGAAUUACUGGGCGUAAAGAGCACGUAGGCGGGUAAUUAAGUCAGAUGUGAAAGACCGGGGCCCAACCUCGGGGUUGCAUCUGAAACUGGUUAUCUUGAGGGCAGGAGAGGAAAGUGGAAUUCCUGGUGUAGCGGUGAAAUGCGUAGAAAUCAGGAGGAAUACCAGUGGCGAAGGCGGCUUUCUGGACUGACCCUGACGCUGAGGUGCGAAAGCGUGGGUAGCAAACAGGAUUAGAUACCCUAGUAGUC